AGAACAGGGUGGUGGAGGCUGACAGGGACGUGUGUGCUCAAGUAUUUCCUGGAAUGGACAUCCAGCCAGGCCUUCGUUUUCAUCACCUGCAUCUGAUCUUUCCGAGGUGGAUGGCCGUGCUUGCCUUUGCGCCCUGAGCUGGUGGAGUUAGGAAACAUUCAGAGCCGCUUGCCAGACCUAUCGAGUCAUCCUGACUUCAGCACCUUCUGGGGACUGGCAGGGACCUUCUCAGAUGUGCUUUCAUAUCAGCUACAGCUGGUGAUUACUAUUCCAGGUAAUCACUUUCCACCGGACCUGGACACCAGAAACUCCUCAGUAACUACACUCUCCUCUCCAGGGUUGACUUGAGACUCAGCUGCAGCCCAAAUAUAAUUAGACAGCCUUCUGAGACCAUCUAGGUGCGAGACUUUCCUCCUCACACCAGUGCCAAGUUUCCACGUUCAAGAACUUAAACGGCCAUAUAAAAUGCUCUGGCAAGGAUGAGGCCCGAUUCUCAAGUUCCCAAUAUGCUACAGGAUUUGGUCUCCAAAUAAAAGAGCUGAGAUUUGGGGGAAUCGGUACAGCCAGCUUCACGAAGCACUUGCGAUCUACAACACAUGUCUGGGCCUCCUUUAGCUUUUCACUGCUAUGCCAUCCAGUCUUUUUGAUAAAUGUGAGAAACUACUGGGGGAGAAAAAAAAAACCUCAACUACAGCAAAUCAAGCACAUUUUGAAAGAAACGAUCCAGGGGGAAGAAUGGAAAAAGAAGGCAAGAAAACCACCGCAAAUAACCUCUCCUGCAGCAAACCAAGAACUUCUAGGAACACAGGACAAGCCUGCGACCAUGUCAACUCACCUUUAUUGCUCACAAAACUGCCUUUGAAUC
rnacentral:lncRNA from 1 species